UUUCCGUAGGUGAACCUGCGGAAGGAUCAUUACCGAGCUAGGGUUUUCGUCCAUCGAGCCCGACCUCCCAACCCUUUGUCUAUUCUACCUUGUCGUUGCUUCGGCGGACCGGUCGCGACCCAACCGGUCGUGGCCGCCGGGGUCCAUCCUUGGAGAGUGUCCGCCGAUGGCCUAACCACAAACUCUAGUACCAAACUAUGUCGUCUAAAUUGCUUGAUGAGAAUCAAAAACAAAACUUUCAACAACGGAUCUCUUGGUUCUG
rnacentral:misc_RNA from 1 species